AGAGAACGGCCUGGGUUGGAUGAACACGGCAAGUCUCCCUUCCUGGACAGUGGGGAUUUGCCUAUGGUGGGCAGACGGCGAGAUCAUCCUUUGAAAAACGCCACUUCAUAGUGUUUCCCAAGCUGUGGGCCUUCACUCAUUGGAGGGUCAAAUAAUCAAAUAUUAGGUUGCAACCAGCAUUUCAUUUACAUGAAAUAGACUCAGCCAGGAAAUCUCAAAGUACACCACAAGCAAUGAGGGUUCCUACAGCACAAUGCCCGGGGAAGAACAAAGAGGAAACUGAAGAUAAUAUACAAACGAGUCUGCUCCUGGUGGAUAGCAUCACUCACUAUUAUUAUUAACGUCGUCAACUUCUUUUUCGGAGAUAUUUCAAAAGGAGCCACAGCUCAUCCAGUGCGUUUCUGAGGUCAGCCUUCACGCCUCGCCACGUCCGUUCUCCCCACUCUCCCUGUGGGCCUCCAUCCCGGCCAUGGUCGCAGAUGUGCUGUCACUGACAAACAUUCCUGGUUAACCUGGCCCCCAGGAAGGGCUUAGUUUAGUCCAUGUCACCACCCUAUGACUCUCACCGCAUUGAAACUUCUUUCCAUUUAGAAGCAUUAGCUGAUCUAACCCAGCAACCUCCUAACUCCAUGUUCCUUCGUGCAGUCACCCUGGUGAAACAGGCAACUUGUGAGCAAAUGUCUAUUAAACGGGCUAAGUUCCAUUUCCCCAUUUUACAUGUCAAACUGAUGCUGUGGUCCCUGGGGAGUGAUUUGUCACCCAGAACAGUCACCUCUAAAAUGUGCAAAUGCUGGUCGGGUGCAGUGGCUCACGCCUGUAAUCCCAGCAUUCUGAG